rnacentral:misc_RNA from 1 species
UUGGUACAGACUGUGUCAAGGCUCC